rnacentral:misc_RNA from 1 species
UGUGGGAGCGAGCCUGCUCGCGAAGGCGUCUUGUCAGUGGACAUCUGCGUUGCCUGACCCACCGUUCGCGAGCAGGCUCGCUCCCACA